UGCUAACCUCAAUGCCCUCACCGGUGCUAGGGUUGCUAUCAUCCUAGAGGCGAGCAAUGGUUUUAUGCUCUUUCAGACAAACCAUCCUACAAUGGAUUUCUUGGGAUGGAUGCUUAAUUGGGUUAUGAUGGUACUAAGUAGACAUUCUUCUAUAGGAAAUGGUGAAUGUGUUUAUGCGCAAUAGGAAUCUUCUUCCAGUGAGCAAGAUGUUGAUGCUUCGGUGCAAUCUGAAGGACUUAGUUAGAAGCUAGUUAGACUUACAUUUUAGUUCUAUAUCGGAAUGAAAGCUAGUUACAUUACCACCUGGAAAAUGUUACCAUUUGGAGAUUUUACUAAGCCCCUUCCAGGCAAUAAUAUACAUGUUCAGUGUUAUAGGUCUUGGAACAUGGAAGUUUUUUUUGUAUGUGCCACUUCAUAUUUUCAUUAUAAUCAAAUAUUUUAUUUUCUUUUUGAGAUGUUAUGUAUCUUAUGGGUGAAGGAAGAGGAAACCUUGAUUUAUAAUACCACCCCUCUUAGCAUAUUAUGAUCCAACCAUUAGUAAUUAACAGAAAAUGGGAGCUAUGCGGAGUAACUAACUAAAAGGUAGCACAAGUUCAGAUUUCCACUCAAGCGACAAGCAUCAAUUGCUUUAAUUGCAUAAGAGUAUGAAAAAUAUGAACAACUCAAUAUGAGAUUCAUUUGAAAUCACGGUAAAUCAAUGUUUUAUUAAUAGAUGCCAAUGAUUUAUUGUCAUUAAAUUAAAACCAUAGUAUACCUGCGAGGACAUGGCGGCCACCUAAUUCUCCAUUUCAGUUCCAGUAGCAAGAAACAACAAAUUUAUGAAAUGAAUCUACUUUUGUUACCUUCGUUAGUUUUUAUCCUUGAAUAAAAAGUGAUUUUUUUUGUAAUGAUAUUGCUCAUCUAAUUAAUAAAUUAGACCCUCGGCAGGUUGCAUUAUGCAAUUGUUCUAAUCUUCUCACCGUUGACAGAGCAUGGUGCCCCAAUGUUUGGUUUUUGUAAUUGAUGACAAUGUCAGGACCGGAUUUUCGGGAUAUUAGUUUCCAGAAAAUGGCCCUUGUGCUCACCAGCCCCAGGAUUACUUUUAGCUGAUGAGGCACCAACUUGAUACAGAAAUUCCAAGCAAAAUACAUAAUAUGUAGUACAAGACCAUUCUGGCCUAUGAGUACAACAAAUGGUUUCCAGUGGUUGAUGGCGGAAGCGGUUUGUGGAUCAUCAGCGUCUAUGGGACUCCAAUUCCCACAUGAACAGCUGCCAGGUUAACUCCUAUCUUCGCGAGGCUGCUAUCACCGUUGCUUAGGUUCCGGGGCUGUCAUCGCAACGCUCCUCUCCAAGCAAGAAAUCUGGCCAAGACAAUAGCCAGGGACAAGCCAGUGAGUACUUUUGAAUGUACUCGCAAACAUUAUGAACACGGGUAUGAUAUAACAACCAAUAAUCAUACUCUAAAAUAUUCUAUGCUCACAACGUCCGUCAUAAAAAUAAUAUCCCUGAUACAUGCAAGCAGGUUAUUUAUGUAAAACAUGAAUAUGCAAUCAGAGAGUAAAAAUAAAAUGCACCGAGCGGGUGUCUGAAGCGACGCCUCGAAAGGAUAAUAAUAUAAGGCAUGCCUCAGUCGGGCGUCUGCGCGACACCACAUACAUGGCUUAUAAAGUAAAUAAAUAAUGAGCAUGCCACAGUCGGGCGUCUGAGAGACACCACAUAAAGGGCUUAUAAGGUAAACAAUAAGAAUGCCACAGUCGGGCGUCUGAGCGACACCACAUAAAGGGCUUAUAAGGUAAACAAUAAGAAUGCCACAGUCAGGCGUCUGAGCGACACCACAUAAAGGGCUUAUAAGGUAAACAAUAAGAAUGCCACAGUCGGGCGUCUGAGCGACACCACAUAAAGGGCUUAUAAGAAAACAAUCACAGUGAAUAUCCAGGAGGUAGAACCGUCCCAGAAUAAUCCCAGUAAUAUGGUGGGUAAGUCCAUAAUAGUAAUAAUCCCAAUCAUCAUAGUCAACACAAGUCACAGGUCAUGAUCCAUGUUCUGGUUUAGCAGUUUCUCCUCCGAAGACCGACACUUGACCAAACCCAGACUGUAGUCCUUAACCAUGGACAUGGCUAUUCGAAUAGAUUUAACCUCUGCAAACGGUGUACUCUUUACCCACGAGUAACGGAUUCCUUUAGUCCAUCGGGACUAAUUCCGUCUACGGCCUUUUAAUAGAAAACACACCUGACUUGCACACACCAGCUUAACUUACCAGUGUCUGGAAUCACCCACGACACCUGUCAAGCAAAAACUCUAAGUGGGGAGGCUACAACCUCGCGUAGCAUGGGAUCAAAUUCAUAUCGCACACUCUAAGUGGUGCCCCCCUCUCGGUCCCAUCCGAAAACACCCAUGCCCCCGGACCAGGUGGCCUGCCUACCAGCUGCAGUCGGUAUCUUCCACCAUGGCCUCUCUGUACGGUGUGUGCUAGAAAGGGGUUGACAGACAACUUACUGUACCGUACCCUACCUGCUGUAGGGACAAGUGGUAGUACGAAACAAGUAUGGGGGUUACUGGAACAAGACUCGAUCUAUGGCCGACUCAGGAAGUUUAAGUAUUCCCAGCAUGAUUAGCUUAAUGAAUAUAUUUCAUCCAACAGACAGGAUCACCACUCAUCAUACCCCAUCAUGCCAUACCGGACACACUCGUCUCGACGAGGAACUAGGGACAAGCUCGGGUCUACCCAAGAUAGAGACUUUCCAGUUUUCCUUCUGGUAGGCGCGAAGGGCAUACGAGGAUGAUCACUAUCACAAGCAUGUCCAUUUCCAACAGCAAGGAAAUCCCCAAUAUGCAUUCAUGCAAAUGAUCGCGUCACCACAUAAAAUAACGAGUUCUCCGUAUUAAGGUGGUGUUAUAAUCAUGUCAACUAACACACAAAAAUAUUAUGCCAGGGUUCAGAAUGCUUGCCUUCAAGGGUAUGCAAGUGGGGUGUGCCUUUUGAAAGUUGACUUCUUCUCCAAAAACCUAUUUUUGAAAAUAUUCAAAUUAACACAUACUUUAAAAACUGUACAAAAACGUUGCUUGGAAAAUUUUCAAAUAAAUAUGAAAAUAAACUAGACAAUAUUUGGGAAACAACAGAAAAAGAAUCAAGUCAUUUGGAUUUAUAUCUAAAAAGUUAUAGCCUAUCAAAGUUUAGUCAACUUUCUGUUUUUAAAAUAAAUCUGAAAAAAAGAAAAACGUUUCGAAAAGGGUACACGUCGAAGACGUACUUUGGGAAUAUGCCUCCACUUAAAACACGUGGUGGCGGGGUUGGGUCACUGACAGUGGGUCCAGCGGCCCCACUGGUCAGGUUUGACUAGUCCCCCGCCUUCUUCCUCCUCUGUCCGAGCCGAGGCGGGGGCUCCGGCGAUCGACGCUGGCGAACGGCAGCUCCUCGCGGGGCUCUGAGGGCGAGGAUGGAUCCGCCACUCCCAGGUGGUCCUCCCGGUGGUUGAGAGGGUGGCGGGGACGAAGGGAGUCGCCGGCGGUGAGCCUUGCGGUGGACGGCAGCUUCGGGAGGUUUGGGGGUUUGGGUUAUGGUGCUUCCCGAUCGACGCUGAGAGGGUGGGUGGCUCCGCACGGUUGGGGGGAGAAGGAUGGAAGCACGGGAGGGGUUUGGGGGCCUCGGUCUUGACCGGAUUUCACCGGAGUGUGGCGGCGGCCGAACCUGUCGGGGACGAGGAAGAUGGCCGUCAUUCGCCGAUUGCUGGCUACGGGGGGGCUCUAGGGGGGGUGGCUCGAGGCUGCCUGAGUGCUGGGACGAGCUCGGGGUCCCCUUUUAUAGUGCAACGAGGUCGGUUCCGCGGCGGCAGUGGAUAGGGACGCCGGCGAACCGCUUUUCUGUAGCUAGGGGUGAGGUGGAGAUGCUUGGAGCUGGUCGGCGCACUCCGACGAACUCCACACUGCUCAAGAGGCGAGCUGGCUCUCGUGUGUGGCUCGGGCGGCGCCGUCCAGGGCAGAGGUUGUCGGGGCGGCGGUGGCGACAUGCAGUGGUGAUGCUGUGGUGCGCCAGGAGGGGGGGCCAGGGUGGCUCUACAGCGAGGGAGGGGUCGGGACGCUGGCUGCGAGUGGAAGGGGCCAGAACGGGAGCGGGGGAGGCGGCAGCGGGAGGUGGCGGCUUGGGCGCACACACGUGCAAAACGCGCGCUCUGGGCGCGCCCAGAGCACGCACGUGACGUGCUCGACAAAAUGACAGGGUGACCUAGAGUGCUUGAGCGAGGCUGGCAAAUAACCGGACUAGGUUAGAGUCUGCAAGAAAGUUAGUGGACAAACUGGUUUGUCCAGAGGUGCAAGGUCACAGUGCAAAGGCAAAAAUCAUGUCAAAACUGCCCAUGCACUUAAGGUAUUUGACAAAAUGCCAAUGGCAUCUAGGCAACUCUUGGGGUGGCCAAAUAUUCCAGAUCAAAGUCUAUUUAGAUGUAGGAGAGGAUGGCAAGUUUAGUUGGCCAAAUGUAGAAACUUGUUAGUGUAAGUUUUGCAAAACUCCAGUUCUGGACAGAAGGAAAAGGGUAUAAUAUCAUGUACCAAAAAUGCUCCAAUGAGUCCAACCUCCUGGACUUAAGGGUUUGCUAGGGUGGUCUACAAUCAGGAGAAAGAAUCAAGGGAAAAAGAGCAAGCAAAAACAUGGUUGCAAUACAAAUCACCAAGUUGAACCAGAAUGCAAAUGAGGAUGAUUCACUCAAUUUUUUCAAAGAGCAUCAAUGGGUUCUUGCAUAAAGAUGAAUAAUAUACUCCUAUUAACACCCCAUAAUUUUCGUGGAAGUUUUAAAGAAAUAUUUAAUUAGGUUGUAAUGCAAAAUUGCCCAAUGGACCAGAUUUGAAAAUUUGAUGUAGAGCUCAAAAUAUCGAAAAAAUGAUAUAUAAUUUUGCAUAAAAGUGAUUUAAAAACAUCACAUGACAUCCCCAAAUUUUGGUGGGAUUUUUAAAUGAAUUUAUAAAAGGGUUGCAGUUCAAAUGGGACCCUAAAAUUUAUGAAAAACCCUUUUGGAGGAAUAAAGCUCAGGAAAAAUAAUUAUAUAAAUAAUCCUACUGAUAAAAGAAUUGUUUUAUUUGAGAGGGUAACUAAGUCCAAUAAUGUUUGAAACUUUUUCACUUGGGGUAAAAACCUCAUAAAAAUAAAGAAAAGAAUGGUUCUGAAAUCAACAGGAAAUCUAGAAAAUAAAAGUUUAAGUUUCCUGGCAAAAUUUUAAUAAAUAAAACAUGGUUAAAUUUUUGGGGUGUCACAACACUACCCCCCUUAAGAAAAAUCUCGUCCUCGAGAUUUGUUAAGAGUUGUUUUCGAAAAUAUCAUUCCUGUUAGUUGAAACCAAAAGGUUUACUCAUAGUACAAACCUUGUGUCGUCAAGGUUGGUUUUUGGCAGCUACGUCCGAGGUUAAAAAUGCAAUCUCACAUCGACAUACUCAUGCAUGGCUACUAUUUAAAAUAGGGCGCACAAGCAACAGUAUUUAAUUACGGCGAUACAGGGUCACACAGUUACAAGGCGAGGACAUGCUAAGACUUGGUACUACUCGAGCGACUCUAGUCUACCUCGUUAAUAUCUAAGCGGGCGUGCCUUGCGGACGUCGAGGCUUCACCACGGUUUUCACCGUCGGGAUUAGCUGGAGGGGGUUGAGGGGCUACAGGGUCGGGGUAGCGAUGAUGACCAUUCCGGGGAUUGUUGGCCACAAUCCCGUUGGAAUGUGUUCCCAAAAGGCGACGAAGCACUUCUGGGGCCAUCAAGGUAUUAUGGUCGAUGGCUGGGGCAGACCUCAAGGACUCGAUCGGUUGUCCGAACAGCACGACUGGGCUAUCGGUGCCGGACUCCUCUUCUCCUCUUGCUGGGGCUCGGCGGGUCAGUUCUCCACGAGCUGCGAUCAGAUCAAGGGUGAUUUGAUCGAACAGUCCCUCUAGUACACAUAGCCUACCAGAUGCAAUAAUGCAGGAUCCAUCUCGUGGUCUCUGUUGGCAACUUGGGGUGGUCUACCAUAUCCGACACGGCUGGGGUAGUAGUAGAACGAGCGGCAGUUGACUCUGGGCGACAAGUGCCGGAGUUGAACUAUAGCCUCUCGAGCAGCUAGUUGGAUGGCUUGUGGCUCAAAGGAAGUUGUCCUUCCGGUGAACCUGUAGGGGCGUUCUGGCGAUAGACCCCUACCGUAGACGUGCAUAGUGGCCCAGAAUUGACGGCUCUCACCGCUCAUGGGUCCUUGGUACACAACAUAUUCUGGGGGCUCUUCUAACGCGAAGGCACGGCGGGUGAGGUUUGCUAGCACGGUCACAAAACCUCCAAGGUUGGUUGCCGUGGUCUCAUUGUGAACAAUGGGUCCUGGCAUUUUAGCUUGGUUUGGGCAGAGGUUGUGCUGUGCUAGGUUGGGGCUAGCGUGCCCUUUUUAUAAAAAAAAGAACGGAGUCUUCCUUCGCACGCUUGCGAAUGAGAUAAUUUUGGUGUCGGUCACUGGCGCGUGAUCGACAGGCUAGGCUGAUAGGUUGGGCACCGACUGCCAAAAAGGUGUCGAUCACUGUGUGGCUAUCUUACACGAGAAGCUUGGCCGGAGUUAGGUUAAGGCCUGGUGGGUUGGUUUACCUAGGUUUUUUUUUACCUGUCUAAGAUAGGAUUAGCCAAUGGUCAGCCUGGCUCUGAUACCAAGUUUGUCAGGACCGGAUUUUCGGGAUAUUAGUUUCCAGAAAAUGGCCCUUGUGCUCACCAGCCCCAGGAUUACUGUUAGCUGAUGAGGCAACAACUUGAUAUAGAAAUUCCAAGCAAAAUACAUAAUAUGUAGUACAAGACCUUUCUGGCCUAUGAGUACAACAAAUGGUUUCUAGUGGUUGAUGGCGGAAGCGGUUUGUGGAUCAUCAGCGUCUAUGGGACUCCAAUUCCCACAGGAAUAGCUGACCUGGUUAACUCCUAUCUUCGUGAGGCUGCUAUCACCGUUGCUUAGGUUCCGGGGCUGUCAUCGCAACGCUCCUCUCCAAGCAAGAAAUCUGGCCAAGACAAUAGCCAGGGACAAGCCAGUGAGUACUUUUGAAUGUACUCGCAAACAUUAUGAACAUGGGUAUGAUAUAACAACCAAUAAUCAUACUCUAAAAUAUUCUAUGCUCACAACGUCCGUCAUAAAAAUAAUAUCCAUGAUACAUGCAAGCAGGUUAUUUACGUAAAACAUGAAUAUGCAAUCAGAGAGUAAAAAUAAAAUGCACCGAGCGGGUGUCUGAAGCGACGCCUUGAAAGUAUAAUAAUAUAAGGCAUGCCUCAGUCGGGCGUCUGCGCGACACCACAUACAUGGCUUAUAAAGUAAAUAAAUAAUGAGCAUGCCACAGUCGGGCGUCUGAGCGACACCACAUAAAGGGCUUAUAAGGUAAACAGUAAGAAUGCCACAGUCGGGCGUCUGAGCGACACCACAUAAAGGGCUUAUAAGGUAAACAAUAAGAAUGCCACAGUCGGGCGUCUGAGCGACACCACAUAAAGGGCUUAUAAGGUAAACAAUAAGAAUGCCACAGUCGGGCGUCUGAGCGACACCACAUAAAGGGCUUAUAAGAAAACAAUCACAGUGAAUAUCCAGGAGGUAGAACCAUCCCAGGGAUACUCAAUAAUCCCAGUAAUAUGGUGGGUUAGUCCAUAAUAAUAAUAAUCACAAUCAUCAUAAUCAACACAAGUCACAGGUCAUGAUCCAUGUUCUGGUUUAGCAGUUUCUCCUCCGAAGACCGACACUAAGACCGACACUUGACCCAACCCAUACUGUAGUCCUUAACCAUGGACACGGCUAUUCGAAUAGAUUUAACCUCUGCAGAGGGUGUACUCUUUACCCACGAGUAACGGAUUCCUUAAGUCCAUCGGGACUAAUUUCGUCUACGGUCUUUUAAUUGAAAACACACCUGACUUGCACGCAACAGCUUAACUUACCGGUGUCUGGAAUCACCCACGAAACCUGUCAAGCAAAAACUCUAAAUGUGGAGGCUACAACCUCACAUAGCAUGGGAUCAAAUUUAUAUCACGCGCUCUAAGGGGUGCCCCCCCCUCUCGGUCCCAGCCGGAAACACCCAUGCCCCCGGACCAGGUGGCCUGCCUACCGGCUACACUCGGUAUCUUCGACCAUGGCCUCUCUGUACGGUGUGUGCUAGAAAGGGGUUGACAACUUACUAAACCAUACCCUACCUACUGUAGGGACAAGUGGUAGUACGAAACAAGUAUGGGGGUUACUGGAACAAGACUCGAUCUAUGGCCGACUCAGGAGGUUUAAGUAUUCCCUGCAUGAUUAGCUUAACGAAUAUAUUUCAUCCAACAGACAGGAUCACCACUCAUCAUACCCCAUCAUGCCGUACCGGACACACUCGUCUCGAAGAGGAACUACGGACAAGCUCGGGUCUACCCAAGACAGAGACUUUCCCGUUUUCCUUUCGGUAGGCGCGAAGGGCAUACGAGGAUGAUCACUAUCACAAGCAUGUCCAUUUCCAACAGCAAGGAAAUCCCCAAUAUGCAUUCAUGCAAAUGAUCGCGUCACCACAUAAAAUAAUGAGUUCUCCGUAUUAAGGUGGUGUUAUAAUCAUGUCAACCAACACACAAAAAUAUUAUGCCAGGGUUCAGAAUGCUUACCUUCAAGGGUAUGCAAGUGGGGUGUGCCUUUUGAAAGUUGACUUCUUCUUCCAAAACCUAUUUUCGAAAAUAUUCAAAUUAGCACAUACUUUAAAAACAGUACAAAAAAGUUGCUUGGAAAAUUUUCAAAUAAAUAUGAAAAUAAACUAGACAAUAUUUGGGAAACAACAGAAAAAGAAUCAAGUCAUUUGGAUUUAUAUCUAAAAAGUUAUAGCCUGUCAAACUUUAGUCAACUUUCUGUUUUUAAAAUAAAACUGAAAAAAAAAGAAAAACGUUUCGAAAAGGGUACACAUCGAAGUCGUACUUUGGGAAUACGCCUCCACUUAAAACACGUGGUGGCGGGGCUGGGUCACUGACACUGGGUCCAGCGGCCCCACUGGUCAGGUUUGACUAGUCCCCCGCCUUCUCCCUCCUCUCUCCGAGCCGAGGCGGGGGCUCCGACGAUCGACGCCGGCGAACGGCGGCUCCUCGCGGGGCUCUGAGGGCGGGGAUGGAUCCGCCACUCCCGGGCGGUCCUCCCGGUGGUCGAGAGGGUGGCGGGAAUGAAGGGAGUCGCCGGCGGCGAGCCUUGCGGCGGACGGCAGCUUCGGGAGGUUUGGGGGUUUGGGUUAUGGUGCUUCCCGAUUGACGCUGAGAGGGUGGGUGGCUCUGCACGGUUGGGGGGAGAAGGAUGGAAGCACGGGAGGGGUUUGGGGGCCUCGGUCUUGGCCGGAUUUCACCGGAGUGUGGCGGCGGCCGAACCUGUCAGGGAUGAGGAAGAUGGCCGUCAUUCGCCGAUUGCUGGCUACGGGAGGGCUCUAGGGGGGUGGCUCGAGGCUGCCUGAGUGCUGGGACGAGCUCGGGGUCCCCUUUUAUAGUGCAACGAGGUUGGUUCCGCGGCGGCAGUGGAUCGGGACACCGGCGAACCGCCGUUCUGUAGCUAGGGGCGACGUGGAGGUGGUUGGAGCUGGUCGGCGCACUCCGACGAACUCCACACUGCUCAAGGGGCGAGCUGGCGCGCGUGUGUGGCUCGGGCGGCGCUAUCCAGGGCAUAGGUUGUCGGGGCGGCGGUGGCGGCCUGCGGUGGUGAUGUUGUGGUGCGCCAGGAGGGGGGGCCAGGGUGGCUCUGCGGCGAGGGAGGGGUCGGGACGCUGGCUGCGAGUGGAAGGGGCCAGAACGGGUGCGGGGGAGGCGGCAGCGGGACGCGGCGGCUCGGGCGCACGCACGUGCAAAACGCGCGCUCUGGCCGCGCCCAGAGCACGCACGCGACGUGCUCGACAAAAUGCCAGGGUGACCUAGAGUGCUUGAGCGAGGCUGGCAAAUAACCGGACUAGGUUAGAGUCUGCAAGAAAGUUAGUGGACAAACUGGUUUGUCCAGAGGUGCAAGGUCACAGUGCAAAGGCAAAAAUCAUGUCAAAACUGCCCAUGCACUUAAGGUGUUUGACAAAAUGCCAAUGGCAUCUAGGCAACUCUUGGGUGGCCAAAUAUUCCAGAUCAAAGUCUCUUUAGAUGUAGGAGAGGAUGGCAAGGUUAGUUGGCCAAAUCUAGAAACUUGUUAGUGUAAGUUUUGCAAAAGUCUAGUUCUGGACAGAAGGAAAAGGGUAUAAUAUCAUGUACCAAAAAUGCUCCAAUGAGUCCAACCUCCUGGACUUAAGGGUUUGGUAGGGUGGUCUAGAAUUAGGAGAAAGAAUCAAGGGAAAAAGAGCAAGCAAAAAUAUGGUUGCAAUACAAAUCACCAAGUUGAACCAGAAUGCAAAUGAGGAUGAUUCACUCAAUUUUCUCAAAGAGCAUCAAUGGGUUUUUGCAUAAAGAUGAAUAAUAUACUCCUAUUAACACCCCAUAAUUUUGGUGGAAGUUUUAAAGAAAUAUUUAAUUAGGUUGUAGUGCAAAAUUACCCACUGGACCAGAUUUGAAAAUUUGAUGUAGACCUCAAAAUAUCCAAAGAAUGAAAUAUAUUUUUGCAUAAAAGUGAUUUAAAAACAUCACAUGACAUCCCCAAAUUUUGGUGGGAUUUUUAAAUGAAUUUAUAAAAGGGUUGCAGUUCAAAUGGGACCCUAAAAUUUAUGAAAAACCCUUUUGGAGGAAUAAAGCUCAGGAAAAAUAAUUAUAUAAAUAAUCCUACUGAUAAAAGAAUUGUUUUAUUUGAGAGGGUAACUAAGUCUAAUAAUGUUUGAAACUUUUUCACUUGGGGUAAAAACCUCAUAAAAAUAAAGAAAAGAAUGGUUCUGAAAUCAACAGGAAAUCUAGAAAAUAAAAGUUUAAGUUUCCUGGCAAAAUUUUAAUAAAUAAAACAUGGUUAAAUUUUUGGGGUGUCACAACACUACCCCCCUUAAGAAAAAUCUCGUCCUCGAGAUUUGUUAAGAGUUGUUUUCGAAAAUAUCAUUCCUGUUAGUUGAAACCAAAAGGUUUACUCAUAGUACAAACCUUGUGUCGUCAAGGUUGGUUUUUGGCAGCUACGUCCGAGGUUAAAAAUGCAAUCGCACAUCGACAUACUCAUGCAUGGCUACUAUUUAAAAUAGGGCGCACAAGCAACAGUAUUUAAUUACGGCGAUACAGGGUCACACAGUUACAAGGCGAGGACAUGCUAAGACUUGGUACUACUCGAGCAACUCUAGUCUACCUCGUUAAUAUCUAAGCGGGCGUGCCUUGCGGACUUCGAGGCUUCGCCACGGUUUUCACCAUCGGGAUUAGCUGGAGGGGGUUGAGGGGCUGCAGGGUCGGGGUAGCGAUGAUGACCAUUCCGGGGAUUGUUGGCCACAAUCCCGUUGGAAUGUGUUCCCAAAAGGCGACGAAGCACUUCUGGGGCCAUCGAGGUAUUAUGGUCGAUGGCUGGGGCAGACCUCAAGGACUCGAUCGGUUGUCCGAACAGCACGACUGGGCUGUCGGUGUCGGGCUCCUCUUCUCCUCUUGCUGGGGCUCGGCGGGUCAGUUCUCCACGAGCUGCGAUCAGAUCAGGGGUGAUUUGAUCGAACAAUCCCUCUAGUACACAUAGCGUACCAGAUGCAAUAAUGCAGGAUCCGUCUCGUGGUCUCCGUUGGCAACUUGGGGUGGUCUACCAUAUCCGUCACGGCUGGGGUAGUAGUAGAACGAGCGGUAGUUGACUCUGGGCGACAAGUGUCGGAGUUGAACUAUAGCCUCUCGAGCAGCUAGUUGGAUGGCUUGUGGCUCAAAGGAAGUUGUCCUUCCGGUGAACCUGUAGGGGCGUUCUGGCGAUAGACCCCUACCGUAGACGUGCACAGUGGCCCAGAAUUGACGGCUCUCACAGCUCAUGGGUCCUUGGUACACAACAUAUUCUGGGGGCUCUUCUAUCGCGAAGGCACGGCGGGUGAGGUUUGCUAGCACGGUCACAAAACCUCCAAGGUUGGUUGCCGUGGUCUCAUUGUGAACAAUGGGUCCUGGCAUUUUAGCUUGGUUUGGGCAGAGGUUGUGCUGUGCUGGGUUUGGGCUAGCAUGCCCUUUAUUAAAAAAAAGGACGGAGUCUUCCUUCGCACGCUUGCGAAUGACAUAAUUUUGGUGUCGGUCACUGGCGCGUGAUCGACAGGCUAGGCUGAUAGGUUGGGCACUGACUGCCAAAAAGGUGACGGUCACUGUGUGGCUAUCUUACACGAGAAACUUGGCCGGGGUUAGGUUAAGGCCUGGUGGGUUGGUUUACCUAGGUUUUUUUUGACCUGUCUAAGAUAGGAUUAGCCAAUGGCCAGCCUGGCUCUGAUACCAAGUUUGUAAGGACCGGAUUUUUGGGAUAUUAGUUUCCAGAAAAUGGCCCUUAUGCUCACCAGCCCCAGGAUUACUGUUAGCUGAUGAGGCAACUACUUGAUACAGAAAUUCCAAGCAAAAUACAUAAUAAGUAGUACAAGACCAUUCUGGCCUAUGAGUACAACAAAUGGUUUCUAGUGGUUGACGGCGGAAGCGGUUUGUGGAUCAUCAGUGUCUAUGGGACUCCAAUUCCCACAGGAACAGCAGACCAGGUUAACUUAUCUUCGUGAGGCUGCUAUCACCGUUGCUUAGGUUCCCGGGCUGUCAUCACAACGCUCCUCUCCAAGCAAGAAAUCUGGCCAAGACAAUAGCCAGGGACAAGCCAGUGAGUACUUUUGAAUGUACUCGCAAACAUUAUGAACACGGGUAUGAUAUAACAACCAAUAAUCAUACUCUAAAAUAUUCUAUGCUCACAACGUCCGUCAUAAAAAUAAUAUCCCUGAUACAUGCAAGUAGGUUAUUUAUGUAAAACAUGAAUAUGCAAUCAGAGAGUAAAAAUAAAAUGCACCGAGCGGGUGUCUGAAGCGACGCCUCGAAAGGAUAAUAAUAUAAGGCAUGCCUCAGUCGGGCGUCUGCGCGACACCACAUACAGGGCUUAUGAAGUAAAUAAAUAAUGAGCAUGCCACAGUCGGGCGUCUGAGCGACACCACAUAAAGGGCUUAUAAGGUAAACAAUAAGAAUGCCACAGUCGGGCGUCUGAGCGACACCACAUAAAGGGCUUAUAAGGUAAACAAUAAGAAUGCCACAGUCGGGCGUUUGAGCGACACCACAUAAAGGGCUUAUAAGAAAACAAUCACAGUGAAUAUCCAAGAGGUAGACCCGUCCUAGGGAUACUCAAUAAUCCCAGUAAUAUGGUGGGUUAGUCCAUAAUAAUAAUAAUCACAAUCAUCAUAAUCAACACAAGUCACAGGUCAUGAUCCAUGUUCUGGUUUAGCAGUUUCUCCUCCGAAGACCGACACUAAGACCGACACUUGACCCAACCCAUACUGUAGUCCUUAACCAUGGACAUGGCUAUUCGAAUAGAUUUAACCUCUGCAGAGGGUGUACUCUUUACCCACGAGUAACGGAUUCCUUUAGUCCAUCGGGACUAAUACCGUCUACGGUCUUUUAAUUGAAAACACACCUGACUUGCACACACCAGCUUAACUUACCGUUGUCUCGAAUCACCCACGACAUCUGUCAAGCAAAAACUCUAAGUGUGGAGGCUACAACCUCGCAUAGCAUGGGAUCAAAUUUAUAUCGCGCGCUCUAAGGGGUGCCCCCCUCUCGGUCCCAACCGGAAACACCCAUGCCGCCGGACCAAGUGGCCUGCCUACCGGCUGUAGUCGGUAUCUUCCACCAUGGCCUCUCUGUACGGUGUGUGCUAGAAAGGGGUUGACAACUUACUGAACCGUACCCUACCUGCUGUAGGGACAAGUGGUAGUAUGAAACAAGUAUGGGGGUUACUGGAACAAGACUCGAUCUAUGGCCGACUCAGGAGGUUUAAGUAUUCCCUGCAUGAUUAGCUUAACGAAUAUAUUUCAUCCAACAGACAGGAUCACCACUCAUCAUACCCCAUCAUGCCAUACCGGACACACUCGUAUCGACGAGGAACUAGGGAUAAGCUCGGGUCUACCCAAGACAGAGACUUUCCCGUUUUCCUUCCGGUAGGCGCGAAUGGCAUACGAGGAUGAUCACUAUCACAAGCAUGUCCAUUUCCAACAGCAAGGAAAUCCCCAAUAUACAUUCAUGCAAAUGAUCGCGUCACCACAUAAAAUAACGAGUUCUCCGUAUUAAGGUGGUGUUAUAAUCAUGUCAACCAACACACAAAAAUAUUAUGCCGGGGUUCAGAAUGCUUACCUUCAAGGGUAUGCAAGUGGGGUGUGCCUUUUGAAAGUUGACUUCUUCUUCAAAUACCUAUUUUCAAAAAUAUUCAAAUUAACACAUACUUUAAAAACAGUACAAAAAAGUUACUUGGAAAAUUUUCAAAUAAAUAUGAAAAUAAACUAGACAAUAUUUGGGAAACAGCAUAAAAAGAAUCAAGUUAUUUGGAUUUAUAUCUAAAAAUUAUAGCCUGUCAAAGUUUAGUCAACUUUCUUUUUUUAAAAUAAAACUGAAAAAAAAGAAAAACGUUUCGAAAAGGGUACACGUCGAAGACGUACUUUGGGAAUACGCCUCCACUUAAAACACGUGGUGGUGGAGCUGGGUCACUGACACUGGGUCCAGCGGCCCCACUAGUCAGGUUUGACUAGUCCCCCGCCUUCUUCCUCCUCUGUCCGAGCCGAGGCGGGGGCUCCGGCUAUCGACGCCGGCGAACGGCGGCUCCUCGCGGGGCUCUAAGGGCGGGGAUGGAUCCGCCACUCCCGUGCGGUCCUCCCGGUGGUCGAGAGGGUGGCGGGGACGAAGGGAGUCGCCGGCGGCGAGCCUUGCGGCGGACGGCAGCUUCGGGAGGUUUGGGGGUUUGGGUUAUGGUGCUUCUCGAUCGACGCUGAGAGGGUGGGUGGCUCUGCACGGUUGGGGGGAGAAGGAUGGAAGCACAGGAGGGGUUUGGGGGCCUCGGUCUUGGCCGAAUUUCACCGGAGUGUGGCGGCGGCCGAACCUGUCGGGGACGAGGAAGAUGGCCGUCAUUCUCCGAUUGCUGGCUACGGGGGGGGGGCUCUAGGGGGGUGGCUCGAGGCUGCCUGAGUGCUGGGACGAGCUCGGGGUCCCCUUUUAUAGUGCAACGAGGUCGGUUCCGCGGCGGCAGUGGAUAGGGACGCAGCGAACCGCCAUUCUGUAGCUAGGGGCGACGUGGAGGUGGUUGGAGCUGGUCGGCGCACUCCGAUGAACUCCACACUGCUCAAGGGGCAAGCUGGCGCGCGUGUGUGGCUCGGGCGCCGCCGUCCAGGGCAGAGGUUGUCGGGGCGGCGCUGGCGGCAUGCGGUUGUGAUGCUGUGGUGCGCCAGGAGGGGGGCAGGGUGGCGCUGCGGCGAGGGAGGCGGGACGCUGGCUGCGAGUGGAAGGGGCCAGAACGGGUGCGGGGGAGGCGGCAGCGGGACGCGGUGGCUCGGGCGCAUGCACGUGCAAAACGCGCGCUCUAGCCGCGCCCAGAGCACGCACGCGACAUGCUCAACAAAAUGCCAGGGUGACCUAGAGUGCUUGAGCGAGGCUGGCAAAUAACCGGACUAGGUUAGAGUCUGCAAGAAAGUUAGUGGACAAACUGGUUUGUCCAGAGGUGCAAGGUCACAGUGCAAAGGCAAAAAUCAUGUCAAAACUGCCCAUGCACUCAAGGUGUUUGACAAAAUGCCAAUGGCAUCUAGGCAACUCUUGGGGUGGCCAAAUAUUCCAGAUCAAAGUCUAUUUAGAUGUAGGAGAGGAUGGCAAGGUUAGUUGGCCAAAUCUAGAACCUUGUUAGUGUAAGUUUUGCAAAACUCCAGUUCUGGACAGAAGGAAAAGGGUAUAAUAUCAUGUACCAAAAAUGCUCCAAUGAGUCCAACCUCCUGGACUUAAGGGUUUGGUAGGGUGGUCUAGAAUCAGGAGAAAGAAUCAAGGGAAAAAGAGCAAGCAAAAAUAUGGUUUCAAUAAAAAUCACCAAGUUGAACCAGAAUGCAAAUGAGGAUGAUUCACUCAAUUUUUUCAAAGAGCAUCAAUGGGUUUUUGCAUAAAGAUGAAUAAUAUACUCCUAUUAACACCCCAUAAUUUUGGUGGAAGUUUUAAAGAAAUAUUUAAUUAGGUUGUAGUGCAAAAUUGCCCACUUGACCAGAUUUGAAAAUUUGAUGUAGAGCUCAAAAUAUCCAAAGAAUGAUAUAUAUUUUUGCAUAAAAGUGAUUUAAAAACAUCACAUGACAUCCCCAAAUUUUGGUGGGAUUUUUAAAUGAAUUUAUAAAAGGGUUGCAGUUCAAAUGGAACCCUAAAACUUAUGAAAACCCCUUUUAGAGGAAUAAAGCUCAGGAAAAAUAAUUAUAUAAAUAAUCCUACUGAUAAAAGAAUUGUUUUAUUUGAGAGGGUAAAUAAGUCCAAUAAUGUUUGAAUUUUUUUCACUUGGGGUAAAAACCUCAUAAAAAUAAAGAAAAGAAUGGUUCUGAAAUCAAUAGGAAAUCCUGAAAAUAAAAGUUUAAGUUUCCUGGCAAAAUUUUAAUAAAUAAAACAUGGUUAAAUUUUUGGGGUGUCACAACACUACCCCCCUUAAGAAAAAUCUCGUCCUCAAGAUUUGUUAAGAGUUGUUUUCGAAAAUAUCAUUCCUGUUAGUUGAAACCAAAAGGUUUACUCAUAGUACAAACCUUGUGUCGUCAAGGUUGGUUUUUGGCAGCUACGUCCGUGGUUAAAAAUGCAAUCGCACAUCGACAUACUCAUGCAUGGCUACUAUUUAAAAUAGGGCGCACAAGCAACAGUAUUUAAUUACGGCGAUACAGGUUCACACAGUUACAAGGCGAGGACAUGCUAAGACUUGGUACUACUCGAGCAACUCUAGUCUACCUCGUUAAUAUCUAAGCGGGCGUGCCUUGCGGACUUCGAGGCUUCGCCACGGUUUUCACCAUCGGGAUUAGCUGGAGGGGGUUGAGGGGCUGCAGGGUCGGGGUAGCGAUGAUGACCAUUCCGGGGAUUGUUGGCCACAAUCCCGUUGGAAUGUGUUCCCAAAAGGCGACGAAGCACUUCUGGGGCCAUCGAGGUAUUAUGGUCGAUGGCUGGGGCAGACCUCAAGGACUCGAUCGGUUGUCCGAACAGCACGACUGGGCUGUCGGUGCCGGGCUCCUCUUUUCCUCUUGCUGGGGCUCGGCGGGUCAGUUCUCCACGAGCUGCGAUCAGAUCAAGGGUGAUUUGAUCGAACAGUCCCUCUAAUACACAUACCGUACCAGAUGCAAUAAUGCAGGAUCCAUCUCGUGGUCUCCGUUGGCAACUUGGGGUGGUCUACCAUAUCCGUCACGGCUGGGGUAGUAGUAGAACGAGCGGCAAUUGACUCUGGGCGACAAGUGCCGGAGUUGAACUAUAGCCUCUCGAGCAGCUAGUUGGAUGGCUUGUGGCUCAAAGGAAGUUGUCCUUCCGGUGAACCUGUAGGGGCAUUCUGGUGAUAGACCCCUACCGUAGACGUGCACAGUGGCCCAGAAUUGAUGGCUCUCACCGCUCAUGGGUCCUUGGUACACAACAUAUUCUGGGGGCUCUUCUAACGCGAAGGCACGGCGGGUGAGGUUUGCUAGCACGGUCACAAAACCUCCAAGGUUGGUUGCCGUGGUCUCAUUGUGAACAAUUGGUCCUGGCAUUUUAGCUUGGUUUGGGCAGAGGUUGUGAUGUGCUGGGUUGGGGCUAGCGUGCCCUUUUUAUAAAAAAAAGGACGGAGUCUUCCUUCGCACGCUUGCGAAUGAGAUAAUUUUGGUGUCGGUCACUGGCGCGUGAUCGACAGGCUAGGCUGAUAGGUUGGGCACCGACUGCCAAAAAGGUGUUGGUCACUGUGUGGCUAUCUUACACGAGAAGCUUGGCCGGGGUUAGGUUAAGGCCUGGUGGGUUGGUUUACCUAGGUUUUUUUUUGACCUGUCUAAGAUAGGAUUAGCCAAUGGUCAGUCUGGCUUUGAUACCAAGUUUGUCAGGACCGGAUUUUCGGGAUAUUAGUUUCCAGAAAAUUGCCCUUGUGCUCACCAGCCCCAGGAUUACUGUUAGCUGAUGAGGCAACAACUUGAUACAGAAAUUCCAAGCAAAAUACACAAUAUGUAGUACAAGACCUUUCUGGCCUAUGAGUACAACAAAUGGUUUCUAGUGGUUGAUGGCGGAAGCGGUUUGUGGAUCAUCAGCGCCUAUGGGACUCCAAUUCCCACAGGAACAGCUGACCUGAUUAACUCCUAUCUUCGUGAGGCUGCUAUCACCGUUGCUUAGGUUCCGGGGCUGUCAUCGCAACGCUCCUCACCAAGCAAGAAAUCUGGCCAAGACAAUAGCCAGGGACAAGCCAGUGAGUACUUUUGAAUGUACUCGCAAACAUUAUGAACACGGGUAUGAUAUAACAACCAGUAAUCAUACUCUAAAAUAUUCUAUGCUCACAACGUCCGUCAUAAAAAUAAUAUCCCUGAUACAUGCAAGCAGGUUAUUUAUGUAAAACAUGAAUAUUCAAUCAGAGAGUAAAAAUAAAAUGCACCGAGCGGGUGUCUGAAGCGACGCCUCGAAAGGAUAAUAAUAUAGGGCAUGCCUCAGCCGGGCGUCUGCGCGACACCACAUACAUGGCUUAUAAAGUAAAUAAAUAAUGAGCAUGCCACAGUCGGGCGUCUGAGCGACACCACAUAAAGGGCUUAUAAGGUAAACAAUAAGAAUGCCACAGUCGGGCGUCUGAGCGACACCACAUAAAGGGCUUAUAAGGUAAACAAUAAGAAUGCCGCAGUCGGGCGUCUGAGCGACACCACAUAAAGGUCUUAUAAGGUAAACAAUAAGAAUGCCACAGUCGGGCGUCUGAGCGACACCACAUAAAGGGCUUAUAAUAAAACAAUCACAGUGAAUAUCCAGGAGGUAGAACCGUCCCAGGGAUACUCAAUAAUCCCAGUAAUAUGGUGGGUUAGUCCAUAAUAAUAAUAAUCACAAUCAUCAUAAUCAACACAAGUCACAGGUCAUGAUCCAUGUUCUGGUUUAGCAGUUUCUCCUCAGAAGACCGACACUUGACCCAACCCAUACUGUAGUCCUUAACCAUGGACACGUCUAUUCGAAUAGAUUUAACCUCUGCAGAGGGUGUACUCUUUACCCACGAGUAACGGAUUCCUUUAGUCCAUCGGGACUAAUUCCGUCUACGGUCUUUUAAUUGAAAACACACCUGACUUGCACACACCAGCUUAACUUACCGGUGUCUGGAAUCACCCACGACACCUGUCAAGCAAAAACUCUAAGUGUGGAGGCUACAACCUCGCAUAGCAUGGGAUCAAAUUUAUAUCGCGCGCUCUAAGGGGUGCCCCCGCCCCCUCUCGGUCCGAACCGGAAACACCCAUGCCCCCGGACCAGGUGGCCUGCCUACCGGCUGCAGUCGGUAUCUUCCACCAUGACCUCUCUGUACAGGGACUUUCCCGUUUUCCUUUCGGUAGGCGCGAAGGGCAUACGAGGAUGAUCACUAUCACAAGCAUGUCCAUUUCCAACAGCAAGGAAAUCCCCAAUAUGCAUUCAUGCAAAUGAUCGCGUCACCACAUAAAAUAACGAGUUCUCCCUAUUAAGGUGGUGUUAUAAUCAUGUCAACCAACACACAAAAAUAUUACGCCAGGGUUCAGAAUGCUUACCUUCAAGGGUAUGCAAGUGGGGUGUACCUUUUGAAAGUUGUCUUCUUCUUCAAAAACCUAUUUUCGAAAAUAUUCAAAUUAACACAUACUUUAAAAACAGUACAAAAAGUUGCUUGGAAAAUUUUCGAAUAAAUAUGAAAAUAAACUAGACAAUAUUUGGGAAACAACAGAAAAAGAAUCAAGUCAUUUGGAUUUAUAUCUAAAAAGUUAUAGCCUGUCAAACUUUAGUCAACUUUUUGUUUUUAAAAUAAAACUGAAAAAAAAUGUUUCGAAAAGGGUACACGUCAAAGUCGUACUUUGGGAAUACGCCUCCACUUAAAACACGUGGUGGCGGGGCUGGGUCACUAACACUAGGUCCAGCGGCCCCACUGGUCAGGUUUGACUAGUCCCCCGCCUUCUUCCUCCUCUGUCCGAGCCGAGGCGGGGGCUCCGGCGAUCGACGCCGGCGAACGACGGCUCCUCGCGGGGCUCUGAGGGCGGGGAUGGAUCCGCCACUCCCGGGCGGUCCUCCCGAUGGUCGAGAGGGUGGCGGGGACGAAGGGAGUCGCCGGCGGCGAGCCUUGCGGCGGACGGCAGCUUCGGGAGGUUUGGGGGUUUGGGUUAUGGUGCUUCCCGAUCGACGCUGAGAGGGUGGGUGGCUCCGCACGGUUGGGGGAGAAGGAUGGAAGCACGGGAGGGGUUUGGGGGCCUCGGUCUUGGCCGGAUUUCACCGGAGUGUGGCGGCGGCCGAACCUGUCGGGGACGAGGAAGAUGGCCGUCAUUCACCGAUUGCUGGCUACGGGAGGGCUCUAGGGGGGUGGCUCGAGGCUGCCUGAGUGCUGGGACGAGCUCGGGGUCCCCUUUUAUAGUGCAACGAGGUUGGUUCCGCGGCGGCAGUGGAUCGGGACACCGGCGAACCGCCGUUCUGUAGCUAGGGGCGACGUGGAGGUGGUUGGAGCUGGUCGGCGCACUCCGACGAACUCCACACUGCUCAAGGGGCGAGCUGGCGCGCGUGUGUGGCUCGGGCGGCGCUAUCCAGGGCAGAGGUUGUCGGGGCGGCGGUGGCGGCCUGCGGUGGUGAUGUUGUGGUGCGCCAGGAGGGGGGGCCAGGGUGGCUCUGCGGCGAGGGAGGGGUCGGGACGCUGGCUGCGAGUGGAAGGGGCCAGAACGGGUGCGGGGGAGGCGGCAGCGGGACGCGGCGGCUCGGGCGCACGCACGUGCAAAACGCGCGCUCUGGCCGCGCCCAGAGCACGCACGCGACGUGCUCGACAAAAUGCCAGGGUGACCUAGAGUGCUUGAGCGAGGCUGGCAAAUAACCGGACUAGGUUAGAGUCUGCAAGAAAGUUAGUGGACAAACUGGUUUGUCCAGAGGUGCAAGGUCACAGUGCAAAGGCAAAAAUCAUGUCAAAACUGCCCAUGCACUCAAGGUGUUUGACAAAAUGCCAAUGGAAUCUAGGCAACUCUUGGGGUGGCCAAAUAUUCCAGAUCAAAGUCUCUUUAGAUGUAGGAGAGGAUGGCAAGGUUAGUUGGCCAAAUCUAGAAACUUGUUAGUGUAAGUUUUGCAAAAGUCUAGUUCUGGACAGAAGGAAAAGGGUAUAAUAUCAUGUACCAAAAAUUCUCCAAUGAGUCCAACCUCCUGGACUUAAGGGUUUGGUAGGGUGGUCUAGAAUCAGGAGAAAGAAUCAAGGGAAAAAGAGCAAGCAAAAAUAUGGUUGCAAUACAAAUCACCAAGUUGAACCAGAAUGCAAAUGAGGAUGAUUCACUCAAUUUUUUCAAAGAGCAUCAAUGGGUUUUUGCAUAAAGAUGAAUAGUAUACUCCUAUUAACACCCCAUAAUUUUGGCGGAAGUUUUAAAGAAAUAUUUAAUUAGGUUGUAGUGCAAAAUUGCCCACUGGACCAGAUUUGAAAUUUUGAUGUAGAGCUCAAAAUAUCCAAAGAAUGAAAUAUAUUUUUGCAUAAAAGUGAUUUAAAAACAUCACAUGACAUCCCCAAAUUUUGGUGGGAUUUUUAAAUGAAUUUAUAAAAGGGUUGCAGUUCAAAUGGGACCCUAAAACUUAUGAAAAAUCCUUUUAGAGGAAUAAAGCUCAGGAAAAAUAAUUAUAUAAAUAAUCCUACUGAUAAAAGAAUUGUUUUAUUUGAGAGGGUAAAUAAGUACAAUAAUGUUUGAAAAGUUUUCACUUGGGGUAAAAACCUCAUCAAAAUAAAGAAAAGAAUGGUCCUGAAAUCAAUAGGAAAUCCAGAAAAUAAAAGUUUAAGUUUCCUGGCAAAAUUUUAAUAAAUAAAACACGGUUAAAUUUUUGGGGUGUCACAGACAAUCUCUAUGGACUAAUGGUUGCUUUGAGUUAUAUUUGAAAGGUUAUCCAUAGGCAAUGCUUGAAGACCAUAUGUUGGUUUCAAGGUUGAAAGAAGAAUAUUAUUUGUUGACCAAGGUGUUAUUCAUGGAGUUAUCCAAAUAUUGGUCAUGUGAGAGUUGAGUAUAUUGCAAGCAUGUCUUGAAAAUAAGAUUAUUUGAACAUUCAUGUUGCCUUUAAUACAUCAUCUUUAUGAAGAGAGAAGAUAAGAUACAAGGUUGAUCAAGACUAAGUACAAAGAAUGGAUUCAAGUUGAUGAACACACAAAGCAUAGAAGAUGUACCGAGUCGAAUCAAGUGAUCUCACGAUAUGGUAAGCAUUGUCCAUUAUGCUUUGUGUAACCCAUGAUCUAUUUGUGUGGUGUUCCUAUGUGGGGCUAGUUUUUUUCCAUGGGCUUACAUCAAGAGGAAGAUAUCAGAUAACCCAUGGAGGAUGACAUCAUGUGGUGAUCGUCAUCAAUGUUGUGUUGUGCAAGUUCAAGUGGAGCAUCACAAAGAGAUCACAUGCUUGAAGCUUGCCAUCCAUUCUGGUGAUAAUGGAGUUGUGAAGAUGUGCCAAAGAGAGGCCAACCCAUAGUGGAGUAUGGGGGAGCAAUAUAUUGGUCUUCAUCGAGCUAGCGCAAUCAGAAAGGUGGUCCAACAUGAGGAGGACGAGAUCAUCAUCGUCUAGCUCAAGUGGACUAUGCGCAAGGCAAAGGUUUGACCUUAAUAGGUUUUCUGUUUUACCGAUCUGAUGGUGUUAGUUGGGAGACCGGGUUGAAGGAUUGAUUGACGUACUAUCAAGGGGGCUCUCGAGUGAGUAGCUUGAGCGUAUCAUUCAUAGAGAGCUCAAACCAUUGCAUCAUUGGCAUCAUCUUUCUUGGUUCUUGUUUGGCUUUUCCCUAUGUGAGUUUUGGAGCUUGUGGUCAUCUCCGUGGCAAGUUCAAGUUGAUCAAAAAUGGAUUUCAUAUGCAGCAUGUAUUGUGUUUUCGAUGUAGGAGUUUUUGCCAGUUCUUCACUCAUGUAUAUUUCACACCUCUAUUGUGAUUUGACAACUCUUGUAGUUACCUUUCUAUCAAGUUUCAAUUCAUCAAUAUCAAAGUGGUGGUACCGCUUGCUACUGGUGGUAGUACUGCUUAUGCAGUACUUUCGCUGGUUGGUGCCGUGGCUACCUCUGGUUGUGUUUAGUCUUCUGUAUGCCUCUGGCAAUUCGCGGUAGUGCCACUGCUUCCAACGGUAGUACCGCUUGAUGCGGUUCUUCCGCUCUGGCGCCGCUUGAACUACUGCUGGUUUGUCUGUUAGCCUAUUGACAAUUAGCGACAGUAUCGCUUGUUGUAGCCGGUGGGACCGCUCCGGCAGAACUAGGAUGCGAGUACCACUGUGGUACUCGAUGAGCCUUAGUGAAACUGCCGCUCUUAGCAGUAGUACCGCUUGAGCAUGACCAGUGCAUAAUGGUCUUAUUCUUGCCCCCACUAUAAAAGGGGGUCUUCUUCACCAUUGCUCCUAGCAACUUUGAGCAAGCUUUCUCCUCCAUUAUUGACCUCUAAAAGCUUUGCUUUAUCUCUAUCCCUCCCAUGGUUCUUGCAUCAUUUUGAGGGGAAAGAGAUAGGAUAUCUAGAUUCUAUAUCUACAUUUCCACCAAUCCAUCUUACGUCUAAGUGAGGGGAACCCUUUGGAUCUAAAUCUUCGAGUUCUUUUGUGUUCUCCUUGUUCUUCCUCACAUAUUCCACCAUAGCUUUCGUUAAUUUGUGGGAUUUGAGAGAUGUGGGACUUGAGCACUUAGUGUGUUCUUGCCAUUACAUUAGUUGCAUCGGUUUGAGUUCUCCAUGAUGAUACAUGGAAGUGAAAGUCGAGAAGCUUACUAGUACCUUUUGGGUAUUUGGGUGUCCUAGAUGAUUGGUGGUGUCUCAAAGCUCAAUCAUUGUUGUGUAAAGCUUCGAGAAAGCUUUGGGGUCUCUAAUACGUCCAUUUUAUAUCAUGUUUUCCUACUACUAUUUCUAAUGCUUUAUAGCUAUAUUUCACCUUUGAUGCAAUUCCAAUGCCUUUUCUCUCUUAAUUGCCAGUUAUAUCACAAGAGGAAGAUUGCCGACAGCUGGAAUUCUGGACCUGAAAAGUGCUACAACAGAGAUAGCUAUUCUCUUGAGCUCCAAAUGACCUAAAUUUUUCCAAAGAUUUGUUUUGAAAUAUAUAAAAAAUACUAGAAGCAAAAUGCACUGAAGGGGACGCACUAGGGAGCUACAAGCUCGGGGGCGCGCCCACCCCCUGGGGUGCACCUGGUGAGCUUAUGAGUCCCACAGAAGGUCUAUGUGGCCCAUCGUCUCCUAUAUGAAGCCAUUUUCCCUAUAAAAAUAAUCAAGAGAAGACUUUUGGAACGAAGCGCCACCGUCUCGAGGCGGAACCUGGGCAGGAGCAAUUUUGCUCUGUGGCAAAGCGAUUCCACCGGGGAAACUUCCCUCUGGGAGGGGGAAAUCAAAGCCAUCAUCAUCAUCAACGUUCCUUUCAUCAUGGGAGGACUCAUCUCCGUCAACAUCUUCACUAGCACCAUCUCACUUCAAACCCUAGUUCAUCUCUUGUAUUCAAUCUUUGUCUCAAACCUCAGAGUGGUACAUGUGGGUUGCUAGUAGUGUUGAUUACAUCUUGUAGUUGAUUUACUUGGUGGAAGAUCAUAUCUUUAGAUUUUUAAUCAUAUAUUAUUCUCCUCUUAUCAUGAACAUGAAUAUGAUGUGUGAGUAGUUUCUUUUAUUCUUGAGGAAACAGGAGAAGUCUUGUUGUAAGUAAUCAUGUGAAGUUGGUUUUCAUUCAAUAUUUUGAUGAUGUGCUAUGUUGUUCUUCCUCUAGUGGUGUCAUGUGAAUGUCGACUACAUGUCACAUUAUCAUGUUUGAGCCUAGGGGAAGGCAUUGUGGGAUUAGUCAGUAGAUGAUGGGUUGCUAGAGUGAUAGAAGCUUAAAUCCUAGUUUAUGCGCUAUUUCGUAAGGGGCUGAUUUGGAUCCAUAUGUUUCAUGCUAUGGUUGGAUUUAUCUUAAUUCUUCUUUCGUAGUUGUGGAUGCUUGCGAGAGGGGAUAAGCAUAUCUAGAUUAAGGAUAUGGAUGUACUCAUAUAGAAAUUUAAUGGUAUUAAUUUUAUAAUUUGUUUGGACGUGUGUUAGUGGUUCUAAAAAGGAUGUGAAUACACACAUAUAGCAAAAAUAUAUACAUUAGCGGUUCCAAAGAAUUACGUUAAGGUACUCAUAUAUGAAUAUAUGGCUAGCAGUCCAUACCGUAUGAAACUAGUAUGCUUAAAGAUUAUCUAUGUCAACUCUUACUAAACAUUACAAGGUCCAAUUCUAGUCAAACAGCAAUGCUUCUAUAUCAAUUGCUAAUAAAUUUGGAUGUAUGGAUAAGGAUGAACUUUAACUAUCAUCCAUGUAUUCCAAAAAGUAUAAUUGACACCAAUGUUUCUUGUACACGAUUCUACAAAUCUCUCUAGCAAGUGGUCCCAACAUGCCAAUACAAACAUGAAACCUAGACAAUUUUUAGGGUCCUUGGGGUGAUACUUCUAUAUAAGGGGGGCACAUCUCCGCAUAUCUCCCACUAACAUGUCGUUAGCCAAUGGUUUUGGUAAAUCUCUAGCAUUUCGUAGAUUCUUGUUGCUCUUGUUUAUAGUAGUAAGUUUCAUUUUCUUCAUAGGAUUUAGUAUGCCAAGGAGGGAGAGGCGGUCAGGUGUCGCAUACAUCCAUGAUGACAAAGAGCGUGAUGGCUCCUUCUUCAAGAGGCGCAGUGGUUUGUUCAAGAGCGCUGCUAACCUCAAUGCCCUCACCGGUGCUAGGGUUGCUAUCAUCCUAGAGGGGAGCAAUGUUGUUAUGCUCUUUCAGACAAACCAUCCUACAAUGGAUUUCUUGGGAUGGAUGCUUAAUUGGGUAAUGAUGGUACUAAGUAGACAUUCUUCUAUAGGAAAUGGUGAAUGUGUUUAUGCGCAAUAGGAAUCUUCUUCCAGCGAGCAAGAUGUUGAUGCUUGGGUGCAAUCUGAAGGACUUAGUUAGAAGCUAGUUAGACUUACAUUUUAGUUUUAUAUCAGAAUGAAAGCUAGUUACAUUACCACCUGGAAAAUGUUACCAUUUGGACAUUUUACUAAGCCCCUUCCAGGCAAUAAUAUACAUGUUCAGUGUUGUAGGUCUUGGAACAUGGAAGUUUUUUUUCUAUGUGCCGCUUCAUAUUUUCAUUAUAAUCAAAUAUUUUAUUUUCUUUGUGAGAUGUUAUGUAUCUUAUGGGUGAAGGAAGAGGAAACCUUGAUUUAUAAUACCACCCCUCUUAGCAUAUUCUGAUCCAACCAUUAGUAAUUAACAGAAAAUGGGAGCUAUGCGGAGUAAGUAACUAAAAGGUAGCACAAGUUCAUAUUUCCACUCAAGCGACAAGCAUCAAUUGCUUUAAUUGCAUAAGUGUAUGAAAAAUAAGAACAACUCAAUAUGAGAUUCAUUUGAAAUCACGGUAAAUCAAUGUUUUAUUAAUAGAUGCCAAUGCUUUAUUGUCAUUAAAUUAAAACCAUAGUAUACCUGCGAGGACAUGGCGGCCACCUAAUUCUCCAUUUCAGUUUCAGUAGCAGGAAACAACAAAUUUAUGAAAUGAAUCUACUUUUGUUGCCUUCGUUGGUUUUUAUCCUUGAAUAAAAAGUGAUUUUUUUGUAAUGAUAUUGCUCAUCUAAUUAAUAAAUUAGACCAUCGGCCGAUUGCAUUAUGCAAUUGUUCUAAUCUUCUCACCGUUGAAAGAGCAUGGUGCCCCAAUGUUUGGUUUUUGUAAUUGAUGACAAUCUCUAUGGAUUAAUGGUUGCUUUGAGUUAUAUUUGAAAGGUUAUCCAUAGGCAAUGCUUGAAUACCAUAUGUUGGUUUCAAGGUUGAAAGAAGAAUAUUAUUUGUUGACCAAGGUGUUAUUCAUGGAGUUAUCCAAAGAUUGGUCCUGUAAGAGUUGAGUCUAUUGCAAGCAUGUCCUGAAAAAGAAGAUUAUGUGAACAUUCAUGUAGCCUUCAAUACAUCAUCUUUAUGAAGAGAGAGGAUAAGAUACAAGGUUGAUCAAGACUAAGUACAAAGAAUGGAUUCAAGUUGAUGAACACACAAAGCAUAGAAGAUGUACCGAGUCAAAUCAAGUGAUCUCACGGUAUGGUAAGCAUUGUCCAUUAUGCUUUGUGUAACACAUGAUCUAUUUGUGUGGUGUUCCUAUGUGGGGCUACUUUUUUUCCAUGGGCUUACAUCAAGAGGAAGAUAUCAGAUAACCCAUGGAGGAUGACAUCAUGUGGUGAUCGUCAUCAAUGUUAUGUUGAGCAAGUUCAAGUGGAGCAUCACAAAGAGAUCACAUGCUUGAAGCUUGCCAUCCAUUCUAGUGAUAAUGGACUUGUGAAGAUGUGCCAAAGAGAGGCUCACCCAUAGUGGAGUAUGGGGGAGCAAUAUAUUAGUCUUCAUCGAGCUAGCGCAAUCAGAAAGGUGGUCCAACGUGAGGAGGACGAGAUCAUCAUCAUCUAGCUCAAGUGGACUAUGUGCAAGGCAAAGGUUUGACCUUAAUAGGUUUUCUGUUUUACCGAUCUGAUGGUGUUAGUUGGGAGACCGGGUUGAAGGAUUGAUUCACGUACUAUCAAGGGGGCUCUCGAGUGAGUAGCUUGAUCGUAUCAUUCAUAGAGAGCUCAAACCAUUGCAUCAUCGGCAUCAUCUUUCUUGGUUCUUGUUUGGCUUUUCUCUAUGUGAGUUUUGGAGCUUGUGGUCAUCUCCAUGACAAGUUCAAGUUCAUCAAAAAUGGAUUUCAUAUGCAGCAUCUAUUGUGUUUUCGAUGUAGGAGUUUUUGCCAGUUCUUCACUCAUGUAUAUUUCACACCUAUCAAGUUUCAAUUCAUCAAAAUCAAAGUUCAUUUGCCGAAGGUAUGCCUGUUUUGGUCUUAAUUACUUGCAUUCAACUGUUGUGCUUUGGUAUUUUGGUAGAGGGCAAGCGUUCUGCUUGGGCUGAGCCUUCUGUUGCCCCUCAACAUUUCGCGGUAGUACCGCUUGCUACUGGUGGUAGUACUGCUUAUGCAGUACUUCCGCUGGUUGGUGUCGUGGCUACCUCUGGUUGUGUUUAGUCUUCUGUAUGCCUCUGGCAAUUUGCGGUAGUACCGCUGCUUCCAACGGUAGUACCGCUUGAUGUGGUUCUUCCGCUCUAGUGCCGCUUGAACUACUGCUAGUUUGUCUGUUAGCCUAUUGACAAUUAGUGGCAGUACCGCUUGCUGUAGCCGGUGGGACCGCUCCGGCAGAACUAGAAUGCGAGUACCACUAUGGUACUCGAUGAGCCUCAGUGAAACUGCCGCUCUUAGCGGUAGUACCGCUUGAGCAUGACCAGUGCAUAAUGGUUGUAUUCUUGCCCCCACUAUAAAAGGGGGUCUUCUUCACCAUUGCUACUAGCAACUUUGAGCAAGCUUUCUCCUCCAUUAUUGACCUCCAAAAUCUUUGCUUUACCUCUAUCCCUCCCAUGGUUCUUGCAUCAUUUUGAGGGGAAAGAGAGAGGAUAUCUAGAUUCUAUAUCUUCAUUUCCACUAAUCCAUCUUACGUCUAAGUGAGGGCAACCCUUUGGAUCUAAAUCUUCGAGUUCUUUUGUGUUCUCCUUGUUCUUCCUCACAUAUUCCUCCAUAGCUUUCGUUACUUUGUGGGAUUUGAGAGAUGUGGGACUUGAGCACUUAGUGUGUUCUUGCCAUUACAUUAGUUGCAUCGGUUCGAGUUCUCCAUGAUGAUACAUGGAAGUGAAAGUCGAGAAGCUUACUAGUACCUUUUGGGUAUUUGGGUGUCCUAGAUGAUUGGUGGUGUCACAAAGCUCAAUCAUUGUUGUGUAAAGCUUCGGGAAAGCUUUGGGGUCUCUAAUACGUCCAUUUUAUAUCAUGUUUUCCUACUACUAUUUCUAAUGGUUUAGAGCUAUAUUUCACCUUUGAUGCAAUUCCAAUGCCUUUUCUCUCUUAAUUGCCAGUUAUAUCACAAGAGGAAGAUUGCCGACAGCUGGAAUUCUGGACCUGAAAAGUGCUACAACAGAGAUAGCUAUUCUCUUGAGCUCCAAAUGACCUAAAUUUUUCCAAAGAUUUGUUUUGAAAUAUAUAAAAAAUACUAGAAGCAAAAUGCACUGGAGGGGACGCACUAGGGAGCUACAAGCUCGGGGGCGCGCCCACCCCCUGGGGCGCACCUGGUGAGCUUAUGGGUCCCACAGAAGGCCUAUGUGGCCCAUCGUCUCCUAUAUGAAGCCAUUUUCCCUAUAAAAAUAAUCAAGAGAAGACUUAGCGCCACCGUCUCGAGGCGGAACCUGGGCAGGAGCACUUUUGCUCUCUGGCAGAGCGAUUCCACCAGGGAAACUUCCCUCUGGGAGGGGGAAAUCAAAGCCAUCAUCAUCAUCAACAAUGUUCCUUUCAUCAUGGGAGGACUCAUCUCCGUCAACAUCUUCACUAGCACCAUCUCACUUCAAACCCUAGUUCAUCUCUUGUAUUCAAUCUUUGUCUCAAACCUCAGAGUGGUACAUGUGGGUUGCUAGUAGUGUUGAUUACAUCUUGUAGUUGAUUUACUUGGUGGAAGAUCAUAUCUUUAGAUUUUUAAUCAUAUAAUUCUCCUCUUAUCAUGAACAUGAAUAUGAUGUGUGAGUAGUUUCUUUUAUUCUUGAGGAAACAGGAGAAGUCUUGUUAUAAGUAAUCAUGUGAAGUUGGUUUUCAUUCAAUAUUUUGAUGAUGUGCUAUGUUGUUCUUCCUCUAGUGGUGUCAUGUGAAUGUCGACUACAUGUCACAUUAUCAUGUUUGAGCCUAGGGGAAGGCAUUGUGGGAUUAGUCAGUAGAUGAUGGGUUGCUAGAGUGAUAGAAGCUUAAAUCCUAGUUUAUGCGCUAUGUCGUAAGGAGCUGAUUUGGAUCCAUAUGUUUCAUGCUAUGGUUGGAUUUAUCUUAAUUCUUCUUUCGUAGUUGUGGAUGCUUGCGAGAGGGGAUAAGCAUAUCUAGAUUAAGGAUAUGGAUGUACUCAGAUAGAAAUUUAAUGGUAUUAAUUUUAUAAUUUGUUUGGACGUGUGUUAGUGGUUCUAAAAAGGAUGUGAAUACACACAUAUAGCAAAAAUAUAUACAUUAGUGGUUCCAAAGAAUUACGUUAAGGUACUCAUAUAUGAAUAUAUGGCUAGCAGUCAAUACCGUAUGAAACUAGUAUUCUUAAAGAUUAUCUAUGUCAACUCUUACAAAAGAUUACAAGGUCCAAUUCUAGUCAAACAGCAAUGCUUCUAUAUCAAUUGCUAAUAAAUUUGGAUGUAUGGAUAAGGAUGAACUUUAACUAUCGUCCAUGUAUUGCAAAAAGUAUAAUUGACACCAAUGUUUCUUGUACACGAUUCUACAAAUCUCUCUAGCAAGUUGUCCCAACAUGCCGAUACAAACAUGAAACCUAGACAAUUUUUAGGGUCCUUGGGGUGAUACUUCUAUAUAAGGGGGGCACAUCUCCGCAUAUCUCCCACUAACAUGUCGUUAGCCAAUGGUUUUGGUAAAUCUCUAGCAUUUCGUAGAUUCUUGUUGCUCUUGUUUAUAGUAGUAAGUUUCAUUUUCUUCAUAGGAUUUAGUAUGCCAAGGAGGGAGAGGCGGUCAGGUGUCGCAUACAUCCAUGAUGACAAAGAGCGUGAUGGCUCCUUCUUCAAGAGGCGCAGUGGUUUGUUCAAGAGCGCUGCUAACCUCAAUGCCCUCACCGGUGCUAGGGUUGCUAUCAUCCUAGAGGCGAGCAAUGGUGUUAUGCUAUUUCAGACAAACCAUCCUACAAUAGAUUUCUUGGGAUGGAUGCUUAAUUGGGUUAUGAUGGUACUAAGUAGACAUUCUUCUAUAGGAAAUGGUGAAUGUGUUUAUGCGCAAUAGGAAUCUUCUUCCAGCGAGCAAGAUGUUGAUGCUUGGG
rnacentral:lncRNA from 1 species